rnacentral:rRNA from 1 species
GCUUCCUACGGGAGGCAGCAGUGGGGAAUACUGCACAAUGGGCGGAAGCCUGAUGCAGCGACGCCGCGUGAGGGAUGACGGCCUUCGGGUUGUAAACCUCUUUCAGCAGGGACGAAGCGUAAGUGACGGUACCUGCAGAAGAAGCACCGGCCAACUACGUGCCAGCAGCCGCGGUAAGACGUAGGGUGCGAGCGUUGUCCGGAUUUAUUGGGCGUAAAGAGCUCGUAGGCGGCUUGUCGCGUCGACUGUGAAAACCCGCAGCUCAACUGCGAGCCUGCAGUCGAUACGGGCAGGCUAGAGUUCGGUAGGGGAGACUGGAAUUCCUGGUGUAGCGGUGAAAUGCGCAGAUAUCAGGAGGAACACCGGUGGCGAAGGCGGGUCUCUGGGCCGAUACUGACGCUGAGGAGCGAAAGCGUGGGGAGCGAACAGGAUUAGAUACCCUGGUAGUCCACGCUGUAAACGUUGGGCGCUAGGUGUGGGGGGCCUCUCCGGUUCCCUGUGCCGCAGCUAACGCAUUAAGCGCCCCGCCUGGGGAGUACGGCCACAAGGCUAAAACUC